rnacentral:tRNA from 1 species
UCCCUGGUGAUUCAGAUGGUAAAAUAUCUGCCUGUAAUGCAGGAGACUCGGGUUCGAUCCCUGGAUUGGGAC